rnacentral:rRNA from 1 species
AUGCACCUCACGCUGCACCUCACGCGACGGCGGCAGGAACCUAGCUCGCCUCAAGCGGCAGCGAAAGGGGAAGCACCCGGUCAUGGAUGGUUCUUGCCAACGGCGGCGUCCAAUUUGGCAGGCAGUUCGACCUGUUCCAAAUUGUUUGUGCUGCUAUGCUGGGCGAUGCCAUACUAUCCUGGCGCCCCAAACUUUAGAUCCAUAUACGUUCAGUUUAUGCAUAGUGUUCAUGUGGUGAAGCAUGAACUAGAGGGGAAGAAUAUAUUUUGUCAUGCUUCACAUUGUAAAUUGUUUGUGUUGCAAAAUUUACCAAUUACAUCUCUUCAGUUCAUGCGUGUGACACUGUCAAAUUUAGAGGGGAAGAAUUUAUUUGUCAUUCAGUUCAUGCUUAUGACACAGUCAAAUCCGGUUGUCAUUCAGUUUAUGCAUAGUGUCAUAGUUUAUGUGCCGAUGCAUUGA